CGUAAUUUCACAUUUCUAUAUAUUUUUCGAAAAUUUGUAUUCGCUUCUAUUUUUUUUUGUAGAAUCACAGGCGAAAUCGGAUCGAAAAGCGGAUUAGAAACGACCACCGAAACGACUCCCGUGUUAUUUAACGAAACGACGAACGACACUCGGGUUCGAAAACGGACCUCGUAGACGCGACCGCGCUCCUCCAAAAUGCUAGAAACGAGUAACGGGCCUUGGGCCCAACAUACCAAACCCUACCUAUUUAAAGCUAAACACACACACUCUACACACACUCACACCACCGCACACACACACACACGCAGCUCUCCCCUCUCUCUCGUUCCAUUUUUGGUGACCGACUUCCGGCAAAGCUCCGGUGAUCGACUUCCGGGGGGGGGGGGGUGAAGGCGCGUACCCCCUAAACAGAACCCCCUGAUCACGAAUCCGGCAUCCGUUUUCUCAUCGGAGCAACGGAGGUGCCCGUUCUCGUCUACGGCAUCCUUGGUUCGAGUUCAAGCCUGUUUCUCCGGUGGUGCCGGUGACGGGACGAUGAUGAGAGCGAUGGUUACGAGUCGGUGUAGAUGAUCGAUGAUGAAGACGGUGAGGACCGACGGCGCCGUCGUCGGAGCCACGGCCGACAGCAGCGGCAGUAGUGGUGGUUCCGAUUCGGGUUCGGAUCUAGACCAGUCGGCUCGGGUUACCGGUUUCCGGUGACAGUCGGGUUUGGUUUAGAUGUUUCAGUUUGUUCCGGUUCAAGUUGGUUUAAGUCGAGUUUCAGUUCUGGUUUGGAGCUGUUCUUAUUUCGGGUGCUCGGGUUUCAGCUCAACACGGUGUAACUCGGGUCGGUUUCAGGUCACGACAGGACUAGACGCCUGCCGCCGUUUCGGUUAAGUGCUCUCGUUCAAUCUCUUGGAAUUCUCCAAUCUUUACUCGUGCGACACUUCGAGAAUUCUCCAAAUGCAACCACUGUGGAUGUUGACGAUGCAUGGAAUCUAGUAGGAUGCUUAGAUACACACUUAAAAAGAAUUGUAUUCAUAUUGUGUUAUUUUAUUAUUCAAGUUGUUAUAUUUUGUUUCAAAACUUGUAAUUGAUCCUUUAGAAAUUGAAUGAAAUGAUUAUUUAAAUACCUGUCACAAUUAUUAGCGUUAUGAUGUCUCGAGCAAUCUUCACACUUCGUCUCAUCCCGAUGUUUCCGCCAUUGGUUGGGGUGUGACAGAUUGGUAUCAGAGCCAUAACUAUAGGGAAUUAGGAAAAGUAGGAAUGCUUUAACCUAGUCUAUAGUUUUAGAGCUUUAUUCUUACGUUUUACUUGAAAUACUUGCAUGCCACCUUAUUUACUCUUAUUUAUUCUCUUUUGAUCUUUUAAGCAUAUAUGUCACUUAUGUGUUAACACUUGACAUGUUAUACUUGCUUUAUUAUGUGCUAAUACAUGUUUUAUUGUCCCACUCAUUAUGUGCUAUUCUUGAUAUACUUCAUUGUGCAUUUUUAUUUGUUUGUUUAUUCAUUUAACAUACUCUUUCCCUCAUGCAUUUUACUCGAUUAUUCUGAAUCUGACAACACUCAUAUUACACAAACGGGACGAGUUUACCAAAAUAGGGGUGAAACCCACAAUUUGGUAAACGACUCUCAUCUCGCUCGAUUCUAUUUUUGCAUGAAAUUUACCAUUAAGUUAGGAGUGAAAUCCAUAUCUUAAUGGAAAUUUCAAAUUUUAAAUUCUAGUGGACCCUCGUCAAAGUGUUGAA